AUUGAACGCUGGCGGCAUGAUUUACACAUGCAAGUCGAACGGUAACAGGCCGCAAGGUGCUGACGAGUGGCGAACGGGUGAGUAAUGCAUCGGAACGUGCCCAGUCGUGGGGGAUAACUACUCGAAAGAGUAGCUAAUACCGCAUACGAUCUAUGGAUGAAAGCGGGGGACCGUAAGGCCUCGCGCGAUUGGAGCGGCCGAUGUCAGAUUAGGUAGUUGGUGGGGUAAAGGCUCACCAAGCCAACGAUCUGUAGCUGGUCUGAGAGGACGACCAGCCACACUGGGACUGAGACACGGCCCAGACUCCUACGGGAGGCAGCAGUGGGGAAUUUUGGACAAUGGGCGAAAGCCUGAUCCAGCAAUGCCGCGUGCAGGAAGAAGGCCUUCGGGUUGUAAACUGCUUUUGUACGGAACGAAACGGCUCUGGUUAAUACCCGGGGCUAAUGACGGUACCGUAAGAAUAAGCACCGGCUAACUACGUG
rnacentral:rRNA from 1 species